UACAGAGGGUGCGAGCGUUAAUCGGAAUUACUGGGCGUAAAGCGCGCGUAGGCGGCUUUUCAAGUCGAUUGUGAAAUCCCCGGGCUUAACCUGGGAACUGCAGUCGAGACUGUCUAGCUAGAGUAUGGGAGAGGGAAGUGGAAUUUCAGGUGUGGCGGUGAAAUGCGUAGAUAUCUGAAGGAACAUCAGUGGCGAAAGCGACUUCCUGGACCAAUACUGACGCUCAUGUGCGAAAGCGUGGGGAGCAAACAGG
rnacentral:rRNA from 1 species